rnacentral:rRNA from 1 species
UGAAUACGAGACGCUAAGGCGUUGAAGUAGUGUAUAUCAUACUUCCAAGAAAAGCUUGCACUGUCAUAGAUAAAAAACGCCUGUACCAUAACCGACACAGGUGGGUAGGUAGAGUAUACUAAGGGGCGCGAGAUAACUCUCUCUAAGGAACUCGGCAAAAUAACUCCGUAACUUCGGGAGAAGGAGUGCCUUAUUUAUAAGGUUGCAAUAACAAGAUCCAAGCAACUGUUUAUCAAAAACACAGGUCUCCGCUAAGUCGUAAGACGAUGUAUGGGGGCUGACGCCUGCCCAGUGCCAGAAGGUUAAAGAAGUUGGUUAGCAGUAGCGAAGCUGAUAACUGAAGCCCUGGUGAACGGCGGCCGUAACAAUAACGGUCCUAAGGUAGCGAAAUUCCUUGUCGGGUAAGUUCCGACCCGCACGAAAGGCGUAAUGAUUUGGAUACUGUCUCGGAGAGGGGCUCGGUGAAAUAGACUUGUCUGUGAAGAUGCGGACUACCUGCACCAGGACAGAAAGACCCUAUGAAGCUUUACUGUAACUUGAAAUUGAAAUUGGACUUUAUUCGCGCAGUAUAGGUGGGAGGCGUUGAUUGUAAUCUUGCGGGAUUAUUGGAGCCAUCAGUGAGAUACCACCCUUGUAAUGUUAGAUUUCUAACUUUGAAUCAUUAUCUGGUCAAAGAACAGUUUCAGGCGGGCAGUUUGACUGGGGCGGUCGCCUCCUAAACGGUAACGGAGGCGUACAAAGGUUUCCUCUGAACGGUUAGAAAUCGUAUCUAGAGUGUAAAGGCAUAAGGAAGCUUGACUGUGAGACCUACAAGUCGAGCAGGGACGAAAGUCGGUCUUAGUGAUCUGACGGUACUGAGUGGAAAGGCCGUCACUCAACGGAUAAAAGUUACUCUAGGGAUAACAGGCUGAUCUCCCCCAAGAGUUCACAUCGACGGGGAGGUUUGGCACCUCGAUGUCGGCUCAUCGCAUCCUGGGGCGGUAGUACGUCCCAAGGGUUGGGCUGUUCGCCCAUGAAAGCGGUACGCGAGCUGGGUUUAGAACGUCGUGAGACAGUUCGGUCCAUAUCCGGUGUAGGCGUUAGAAUAUUGAGAGGAGCCUUCUUUAGUACGAGAGGACCGAGAAGGACAUACCUCUGGUGUACCAGUUAUCGUGCCAACGGUAAACGCUGGGUAGCUAUGUAUGGAGUGGAUAACCGCUGAAAGCAUCUAAGUGGGAAGCCCACCUCAAGAUAAGUAUUCUCA